AGGAAGUAAGCACACAAACACAAAACAUUGUCAUCGUCACUGUUUGCCAGUAAGUAACUACUUUUACACGGAUGACUGUGUGUUUUUAAGUUUUUGUGAUAUCACAAAAAUGUUAAAAGGUCACAUUGUGUGUAUAUUCAAUUGAUUCGUUUUAAACUGUGACGCACUGUAGUCUAAUCCCUGAGGUUUGGCUGCAGCGCUUGCACAUCACUGCCCGGUUCCUUUCGCUAAUCCAUAGGACGCAGGUCUGGGUUGUGCGCAUGUACGUAUGUCACGAUCGUGUUUAACGUAACCACACACCAACAACAGAACCCACGCCGAUUAUCGGCGCGCGACAACGCGACACGAACGCGGAAAAGCGUUAUGGUGGCGGCGACACGCAUCGUCCCCGGUGUCCGCAGCACGGACUUCGGUCUCUCCCUUCCUCCCCCUCGGCCUGUCUGCUCCUCCACUAUUUAAAGCACAGUCUGGUGUUUAUAUGUAGAGCGCGUGACGUAACGUGGAGUAGCACCGUCCCAUCCCGGGCAGUCUAUAUUAGAGAGCCAAUAUGGCGGUAUAAAACCAGGCAGCGGAAAGGAGGAGGGUCAGACCCGGAGAGCGGGGAGACGUGGAAGCCAUUUUACAGAGCGGCGGGCUGCGCGCUCCGCCAGCCCCGCACUUUGAGCGGGAGCGGGAGGCAGUCGACCUGACCGGGGUGACAGCGGUGGUUUGGGGCGGCUGUCCCGCCGUUCUGCUCGUGGAAUGGAGGACAAUGAUGAGGCGUUUGACUGAGCGCCGACGACUUAACGCUUAAAGGAUACUUUUAACUGUGGAAGCGAGAUAAUAAAUAUAGUAAUUCAUUCGCAGUGGCUGAUGGCGAGGUGCUUUGCGUACAUCUGUAUUUGAAACGUUAUGCGAAAUAAAACCGUUUACCGUC